CCCUUAGAUGUUCUGGGCUGCACGCGUGCUACAAUGGCGCUUGCAACAAGUCUUGCCAACCCGAUAGGGUGAGCGGAUCUUUGAAGAGGCGUCGUGAUCGGGACAAUUGAUUGCAAUUAUUCGACUCGAACGAGGAAUUCCUUGUAAUCGCGAUUCAUCAUAUCGCGCUGAAUACGUCCCUGCCCUUUGUACACACCGCCCGUCGCUCCUACCGAUUGAGCGAUCCGGUGAAUGUUUUGGACUGGCGUCAGAAGCGGUUCGCUCCUGACACUACGAAAUUUUGUAAACCUUAUCGCUUAGAGGAAGGAAAAGUCGUAACA
rnacentral:rRNA from 1 species